AGGGAACACCCUCCUCUGACUGACAAAUAUGACUCCUAAACCAGGAAAGCAGUGAGUGACUGAGAAAGAAGGAGUUGCCAGGCUGCCACCUGCUAAAGAAGAGGAUGUGUCACCCAUAACUGCCGCUGGAAUUUCUCCCCGGGCACAGGAACACAGUAGAUUACAGCUCCCAGCUUUCCUUGCAGCUGGCCAUGGCCAUGUGACUGAAUUCCAGGCACUGUGAGCGGAGGUGAUGUGCCCCACUUCUGGGGCAAAGCCCUUAACUCCCCUCCCCACCCCAAACCCAUGCCAUCCAUCCUCUUCUUCCUAUUGUUAGCCCGAAGCCCUUAGGCAAGUGAUCCUGGAAGCCAAAUGUUGAGGUUGAUGAAACCACAAUAUGGAAGAAGCCCGUUUACCAAAUUACCACUUGGAGGAAAUCUGCCUGCAGUUCAAGAAUACCCAUUUUGGAUUUCACACCAGGGAGGAAUAAACCAUAACUGAGUUAAGGCAGUAAGAUUUGAGGA